GUUGGGAAUUAUAAGUAAAAAUACAAUUUUGAAAGCAAUUCACAAC
rfam:Flavobacterium sp. LPB0076 LPBF02, whole genome shotgun sequence.